UCUGUGGUUAACCAAACAUAUCAAAAUUUUAUUCUCAGAAAUUAACUUUCUGAGAAGUUACUUUUUAGCUACUUUCUAAGAAGAAAAAUUAUUUUCAUGAACCAAAUGAGUCUUGAAUUUUUUUUUCCUCUCUUCUGGAUGGCAGAAAGCUGUCAUCCUGUCAUAUCGCAUAGCUUAGUUUCAACUCUAAGUUUUUUUCUUUUGGAAU
rnacentral:lncRNA from 1 species